AUAGACCCGAAACCCGGUGAUCUAGCCAUGGGCAGGUUGAAGGUUGGGUAACACUAACUGGAGGACCGAACCGACUAAUGUUGAAAAAUUAGCGGAUGACUUGUGGCUGGGGGUGAAAGGCCAAUCAAACCGGGAGAUAGCUGGUUCUCCCCGAAAGCUAUUUAGGUAGCGCCUCGUGAAUUCAUCUCCGGGGGUAGAGCACUGUUUCGGCAAGGGGGUCAUCCCGACUUACCAACCCGAUGCAAACUGCGAAUACCGGAGAAUGUUAUCACGGGAGACACACGGCGGGUGCUAACGUCCGUCGUGAAGAGGGAAACAACCCAGACCGCCAGCUAAGGUCCCAAAGUCAUGGUUAAGUGGGAAACGAUGUGGGAAGGCCCAGACAGCCAGGAUGUUGGCUUAGAAGCAGCCAUCAUUUAAAGAAAGCGUAAUAGCUCACUGGUCGAGUCGGCCUGCGCGGAAGAUGUAACGGGGCUAAACCAUGCACCGAAGCUGCGGCAGCGACACUAUGUGUUGUUGGGUAGGGGAGCGUUCUGUAAGCCUGUGAAGGUGGCCUGUGAGGGUUGCUGGAGGUAUCAGAAGUGCGAAUGCUGACAUAAGUAACGAUAAAGCGGGUGAAAAGCCCGCUCGCCGGAAGACCAAGGGUUCCUGUCCAACGUUAAUCGGGGCAGGGUGAGUCGACCCCUAAGGCGAGGCCGAAAGGCGUAGUCGAUGGGAAACAGGUUAAUAUUCCUGUACUUGGUGUUACUGCGAAGGGGGGACGGAGAAGGCUAUGUUGGCCGGGCGACGGUUGUCCCGGUUUAAGCGUGUAGGCUGGUUUUCCAGGCAAAUCCGGAAAACCAAGGCUGAGGCGUGAUGA
rnacentral:rRNA from 1 species